rnacentral:lncRNA from 1 species
CUAGUAACAGAAGUGACUAAUUGCAGUUUUGUUUCUUUUACAAACCAGCUGGGUGAGGAAAACUAUGUCAAAAACCAAAUCACAAGUGAGAAGUGCUUUUCUUUUCAAAUGUGGCUUCCAGGCCUCUCCAGUAAGAAUGCUAUGAGAGAAGAGAUUAAGAGUCUUAACAGAUUCCUAAGCAACUGCUGUGGAGAGAGGAUCAAAAUAUACAGCAGAAAUUUGAACCAUAUUAAGCCUGAAGGACCCAGUAAAGGUUAAAAGGACACCACAGCCUUCAGCUCUCUUCUUUUUCAUACCCUCAUCUCACAUUCAGGAAAUGUCUCCAUUUCCCCCUCCUUUACAUUCUAAAUAAAAUGGAGAUUUUAUUUCAAAUUUGAAGUCACAGUAACAGGUUUGUCCAUUUUAAGAAGAAUUUCCUUAUUUCUGAUGUACUUUAGGAAUGAACAGUCAUAAUGCCGACAGGAAAUUUUUAGUCA